UGCGCCUUGCCAGCCCGCUCAGAAACUUAAAGGAAUUGACGGGGCCCGCACAAGCGGUGGAGUAUGUGGUUUAAUUCGAUGCAACGCGAAGAACCUUACCUGGUCUUGACAUCCCGGAGACCCUUAGGAAACUAGGGGGUGCUUCCAUCUGGAAGAAUCUGGAGACAGGUGCUGCAUGGCUGUCGUCAGCUCGUGUCGUGAGAUGUUGGGUUAAGUCCCGCAACGAGCGCAACCCUUGCCUUUAGUUGCCAGCAGUUCGGCUGGGCACUCUAAAGGGACUGCCGGUGUUAAACCGGAGGAAGGUGGGGAUGACGUCAAGUCCUCAUGGCCUUUAUGACCAGGGCUACACACGUACUACAAUGGCCGAUACAAAGGGCAGCGACACUGCGAGGUGAAGCCAAUCCCGUAAAAUCGGUCUCAGUCCGGAUUGGAGUCUGCAACUCGACUCCAUGAAGUUGGAAUCGCUAGUAAUCGUGAAUCAGAAUGUCACGGUGAAUACGUUCCCGGGCCUU
rnacentral:rRNA from 1 species